GAUGAACACUGGCGGCGUGCUUAACACAUGCAAGUCGAACGGAAAGGCCUCUGCUUGCAGGGGUACUCGAGUGGCGAACGGGUGAGUAACACGUGGGUGAUCUGCCCUGCACUUCGGGAUAAGCCUGGGAAACUGGGUCUAAUACCGGAUAGGACAAUGGUUUGGAUGCUGUUGUGGAAAGUUUUUCGGUGUGGGAUGAGCUCGCGGCCUAUCAGCUUGUUGGUGGGGUAAUGGCCUACCAAGGCGUCGACGGGUAGCCGGCCUGAGAGGGUGUACGGCCACAUUGGGACUGAGAUACGGCCCAGACUCCUACGGGAGGCAGCAGUGGGGAAUAUUGCACAAUGGGCGCAAGCCUGAUGCAGCGACGCCGCGUGGGGGAUGACGGCCUUCGGGUUGUAAACUCCUUUCGCUAGGGACGAAGCGUUUUUGUGACGGUACCUGGAGAAGAAGCACCGGCUAACUACGUG
rnacentral:rRNA from 1 species